GACGAACGCUGGCGGCGCGCUUAACACAUGCAAGUCGAACGGAAAGGCCUGCUUUCCCUUGUGGAUUGCGGGUACUCGAGUGGCGAACGGGUGAGUAACACGUGAGUGAUCUGCCCCCAACUUGGGUAUAAGCCUGGGAAACUGGGUCUAAUUCCCGAUAGGACUGCAGGGUGGUGCCUGUGGUGGAAAACGAUUUUCUAGUGGUUGGGGAUGAGCUCGCGGCCUAUCAGCUUGUUGGUGGGGUAAUGGCCUACCAAGGCGGCGACGGGUAGCCGGCCUGAGAGGGUGGACGGCCACAUUGGGACUGAGAUACGGCCCAGACUCCUACGGGAGGCAGCAGUGGGGAAUAUUGCACAAUGGGCGGAAGCCUGAAGCAGCGACGCCGCGUGGGGGAUGACGGCCUUCGGGUUGUAAACUCCUUUCGACCGCGAGGAAGCCACCUGGUUGGAAGGGUGGUGACGGUAGUGGUAGAAGAAGCACCGGCUAACUACGUG
rnacentral:rRNA from 1 species